GUGUAGCUCCAUGGCCUGCUGGGAAAUGUAGUUCGGCUCCAAACAGCUAAUGGGAGGCCGCCAGGCGCGGCGGCUGGGGCGGGACAGUCCCACCCUCACCCCACCCCGCUUUCCCCGGGCUCGACCGGAAGUAGGCUGCCUCUCGGACCGGAAGAUCUGCGAGAGGCUGCGGCUGUUUUCGCCGCAGCAUCCAGGGUGUGUCGAAGGACCGCUGAAGCGAUGCCCAGGAUCCACCCUGUCUUGUUUCCCACCUCCACUUCCCAGUAAUGGCGGCCAGAGAGGAAGCUUGGAAGGCCUAGGGCGAUGAUGCAACUAUCAAAUCUUUCUGGAUUAUCAGGAUUCACAGCCUACCUCAGAUCCCAGGGGGCACCCAGGGAUCUGGUGUUGUGAGGAAAUGCCUGCACAGGUCACCAUUCCUAAGGAUACCAGGUUUUCUGAGUUUUGGGGUCCUUUCUUACCUGAAGAAGGAGGGACUUCUGGACCUGAAGGCUGAUGGAGCUCACUGCCUACCACCUCCCUCAAGGUCUCAGAAGGUUCUUGACCCUCAAUUCCAUUUUUCUUUGAAGGUCCUGUAGAUUCUGGAUGCUCCCAGGUCAUCUGGUCUCCAGACAGUGAUACAUUGGAAAGUGUAUUCCUGAAUACUCCCCCCUUCAGGAUCAUGGACUGUUCUGGAUUCUUGGAGCCUUUCUCUGGAGCCACAGUAGCGCCUACAUCCAGAGUGGCCACUUCACUGGCGGUGGCUGCUGAGUCUGGAUGAUCACUUCUUAUUUUCUCUUGAGGCAGAAGAGUUUCUGGAUUGGGAGGUUCUCUCUCUCCCAAAAAAAAGGUAAAUUCAAGACUUCUGGGUCGCUUCUGCCCUGAAGGUAAAUGUUCUUCAGAGAUCCUGGAUUUUACUCUUCCUAGGGACACAGUAAGGGACUCAGAGUCAAGUCCUUGGAGCCUUCCUAAAGAGCUGGCGUUCCUGCGUAGCAUGCCACUAGGACUCCACUUCUCACCCUGUGGCUUACCAGAGAGUAGGCAUCUCCUGGGGGACAGAGUCAUGCUUCUGGCCCAUGGCUUGCCCAGCACAUCCAGGCCCUCAGAGCCCUUCUGAUCUCUCCGUUUGCCCUGAGGCUUCUUUUGGGGCCCCCUUCCAGCCUCAUGCUGGCUGGGUGGCAGGCUGAGGGCCCCAUCACCACUUUGCCGCUGCCUAACACCUUCCAGGCCAUCUGGUAUCCUCAGGCCCUUGGGCUUAUUCUCCCCAGAGGAACAAGACAUUGCUGAACUGUUCGGGCCACUUUCUUGUAUCAGAUACUCUGCAAAGACAACAGGAUGCAAAGACAUGAAAUUGUGCAGUGUUCAGGGCCAGGGGUCGGGAGAGAAGGGAGAGAAGGAAAAAUCCCCUCAGAAAUUACAGAAGUUCAGAAUGUUCUAGGCAACAACAGUCAAUUACCCUUAAAUAAGAAAAUGCUAAUUAUUUGUUAUAUAUUUCUCAAAUAGUGCUUUUCACACUUCUUUGGCAGGAGAACUUGUUUCCAGUAUAAAGUCUUACACAAAAUUCUUAAUUCAUAAAAUAAAUAAACCCCCUAGUUUACUGGUAUAAAUGUGUGUGUGAUUAUAGGUGUAUAAAACUCACUUAUAAAAUCCAUCAAUAAAGAAGAAUUAAGGUAUUUGGCACAAAAAUUUGAAAACAUUUUGAAGGACAAUUAAAACUUCAGAAACUAA